AGUGAACGCUGGCGGUAGGCCUAACACAUGCGAGUCGAACGGCAGCACAGUAAGAGCUUGCUCUUACGGGUGGCGAGUGGCGGACGGGUGAGGAAUACAUCGGAAUCUACUUUUUCGUGGGGGAUAACGUAGGGAAACUUACGCUAAUACCGCAUACGACCUACGGGUGAAAGCAGGGGAUCUUCGGACCUUGCGCGAUUGAAUGAGCCGAUGUCGGAUUAGCUAGUUGGCGGGGUAAAGGCCCACCAAGGCGACGAUCCGUGCUGGUCUGAGAGGAUGAUCAGCCACACUGGAACUGAGACACGGUCCAGACUCCUACGGGAGGCAGCAGUGGGGAAUAUUGGACAAUGGGCGCAAGCCUGAUCCAGCCAUACCGCGUGGGUGAAGAAGGCCUUCGGGUUGUAAAGCCCUUUUGUUGGGAAAGAAAAGCAGCAGGUUAAUACCCCGCUGUUCUGACGGUACCCAAAGAAUAAGCACCGGCUAACUUCGUG
rnacentral:rRNA from 1 species